rnacentral:rRNA from 1 species
UUCGGGAUGCCGGCGAGUGGCGAACGGGUGAGUAACGCGUGGAUACCUAUCCUAUAGUGGGGGAUAACGUUUAGAAAUGAACGCUAAUACCGCAUAAGCCCUUUGGGGGAAAGAUUUAUCGCUAUAGGAGGGGUCUGCGUCGGAUUAGCUAGUUGGUGGGGUAAAGGCCUACCAAGGCGACGAUCCGUAGCUGGUCUGAGAGGAUGAUCAGCCACACUGGGACUGAGACACGGCCCAGACUCCUACGGGAGGCAGCAGUGGGGAAUAUUGCGCAAUGGGGGAAACCCUGACGCAGCGACGCCGCGUGGGUGAAGAAGGCCUUAGGGUUGUAAAGCCCUUUCAGUAGGAAAGAUGAUGACGGUACCUACAGAAGAAGCUCCGGCUAACUCCGUGCCAGCAGCCGCGGUAAUACGGAGGGGGCUAGCGUUGUUCGGAAUUACUGGGCGUAAAGGGCGCGUAGGCGGUUAUGCAAG